rnacentral:rRNA from 1 species
UCGACUGGAAUUCACUUAGGUGAUAGUACGGUGGCGGACGGGUGAGUAACGCGUAAAGGACUUGCCCUCUAGACUGGGACAACUACUGGAAACGGUAGCUAAUACCGGAUAUUAUGAGAACCUCGCAUGGGGAAGUUAUGAAAGCUAUAUGCGCCAGAGGAGAGCUUUGCGUGCCAUUAGGUAGUUGGUAGGGUAAUGGCCUACCAAGCCGACGAUGGCUAGCCGGCCUGAGAGGGUGAACGGCCACAAGGGGACUGAGACACGGCCCUUACUCCUACGGGAGGCAGCAGUGGGGAAUAUUGGACAAAGGACCAAAAGUCUGAUCCAGCAAUUCUGUGUGCACGAUGAAGGUUUUCGGAUCGUAAAGUGCUUUCAGCAGGGAAGAAAAAAAUGACGGUACCUGCAGAAGAAGCGACGGCUAAAUACGUGCCAGCAGCCGCGGUAAUACGUAUGUCGCAAGCGUUAUCCGGAAUUAUUGGGCGUAAAGCGCGUCUAGGCGGCCUUUUAAGUCUGAUGUGAAAAUGCGGGGCUCAACUCCGUAUUGCGUUGGAAACUGGAAGGCUAGAGUAUCAGAGAGGUGGGCGGAACUACAAGUGUAGAGGUGAAAUUCGUAGAUAUUUGUAGGAAUGCCGAUUGGGAAGCCAGCUCACU